AACGAACGCUGGCGGCAGGCUUAACACAUGCAAGUCGAGCGCCCCGCCAGGGGGGCGGCGGACGGGUGAGUAGCGCGUGGGGACGUACCUUUUGGUUCGUAACAACUCCGGGAAACUGGAGCUAAUACCGGAUAAGCCCUAACGGGGAAAGAUUUAUCGCCGAAAGAUGGGCCCUCGUCUGAUUAGCUAGUUGGUGAGGUAACGGCUCACCAAGGCGACGAUCAGGAGCUGGUCUGAGAGGAUGAUCAGCCACACUGGGACUGGGACACGGCCCAGACUCCUACGGGAGGGAGGAGUGGGGAAUAUUGGACAAUGGGGGCAAGCCUGAUCCAGCCAUGCCGCGUGAGUGAUGAAGGCCUUAGGGUUGUAAAGCUCUUUUGUCCGGGAAGAUAAUGACUGUACCGGAAGAAUAAGCCCCGGCUAACUUCGUG
rnacentral:rRNA from 1 species